rnacentral:rRNA from 1 species
GGGGGGGGGGGGGGGGGGGGUGGGGGGUGGGAGGGGGAGGGGGAGGGCCUGGUUUUGGGGGGUGCUCGAGGGGCGGACGGGGGAGUAACACGUGAGUAACCUGCCCUUGGCUUUGGGAGAACUUCAGGAAGAUGGGGCUAAUACCGGAUAGGAGCGCCUGCUGCCAGGGGGGGGGUGGAAAGUUUGGGGGGGUGGGGAUGGACUCGCGGCUUGUCCGCUUGCUGGUGGGGUAGUGGCUUACCAAGGCUUUGACGGGGAGCCGGCCUGAGAGGGUGACCGGCCACAUUGGGCCUGAGAUACGGCCCAGACUCCUACGGGAGGCAGCAGUGGGGAAUAUUGCACAAUGGGCGGAAGCCUGAUGCAGCAACGCCGCGUGCGGGAUGACGGCCUUCGGGUUGUAAACCGCUUUCGCCUGUGACGAAGCGUGAGUGACGGUAAUGGGUAAAGAAGCACCGGCUAACUACGUG